rnacentral:rRNA from 1 species
UCAAGUAUUUUAGAGCACAUAGUGAAUGCCUUGGCACCAGCAGGCGAUGAAGGACGUGCUAAGCUGCGAUAAGCUUCGGAUAGCGGCAAAGACGCUUUGACCCGGAGAUUUCCGAAUGGGAUAACCUGCAGCGGUUCAUACCGCUGCGUGCAGCCCUCAAUACAUAGGGGCUGCGACGCCAUACCGGGGGAAGUGAAACAUCUCAGUACCCCGAGGAAAAGAAAACGAAUGUGAUUCCGUCAGUAGUGGCGAACGAAAGCGGAACAGCCCAAACCGGAGGCUUUGCCUCCGGGGUUGUAGGAGCCCGAUGUGGCAUUGGAUCGAGUUAGGUGAAGCUUCAGGAAAGUUGCGCCAGAGAGGGUGAAAGGCCCGUAACCGAAAACUUUGAUCCAGCCUAGGGAAUUCCUGAGUAAUGCGACACACGUGAAACUUCGCAUGAAUCGGCGCCGACCACGGCGUAAGGCUAAAUACUAGCUGGUGACCGACAGUGAACAAGUACCGCGAGGGAAAGGUGAAAAGCACCGCUGUGAGCGGAGUGAAACAGUACCUGAAACCAUGUGCUUACAAGGUGUCAGAGCCGGCUUGUCCGGUGAUGGCGUGCCUUUUGCUUAAUGAGUCUGCGAGUUGGUUUUUGUGGCAAGCCUAAGUCCUUCUGGGACGCAGGCGCAGCGAAAGCGAGUCCGAACAGGGCGAAGUUAGUCACAGGAGCCAAACCCGAAGCGGUGGUGAUCUACCCAUGGCCAGGCUGAAGCGUUGGUAAUACGACGUGGAAGGCCGAACCGGUGAACCUUGAGAAGUUCUCGGAUGAGUUGUGGGUAGGAGUGAAAGGCUAAUCAAACCCCGUAAUAGCUGGUUCUCCUCGAAAUGUAUUUAGGUGCAGCGUCAUAUGCUGACCCGGGGGGGUAGAGCACUGAAUGAGCUAGGGGGCACACCCGCCUACCAAACUCAAUCAAACUCCGAAUACCCCGGGGUGAAGUAUGGCAGUAAGACAGUGGGGGAUAAGCUUCAUUGUCGAAAGGGAAACAACCCAGCCCAGCAGCUAAGGUGCCCAAAUACCGCUCAGUGGAAAGGAAGUGAGAUUUCUUUGACAGUGAGGAUGUUGGCUUAGAAGCAGCCACCAUUUAAACAGUGCGUAAUAGCUGACUCAUCGAGAGAUCUCGCGCCGAAAAUGAUUGGCGAUAAGCGGUAUACCGAAGCUCUGGAUGCCCCGGAUUUUGGUCCGGGGUUUGGUAGAGGAGCGUUCUCAACGCAUCGAAGCUGGAUGGCGACUGAAAGUGGAGUGUUGAGAAGUGAGGAUGCAGACAUAAGUAACGACAAGGGUGGUGAAAUCCCACCCCGCCGUAAAUCCAAGGUUUCCUGGGCAACGAUUUUCGUCCCAGGGUUAGUCGGGACCUAAGCCGAUGCCGUCUGGCGCAGGCGAUGGAAAGCAGGUUAAUAUUCCUGCACCGGCUCUGGUUAAGUCAUGUUAGACCACGGAGAAGGAGGAAACAGACCUUAUUGACUUGGCAGGAAGGGCCCCGGCCUGACCGCGUUUCCAAAUGAUCCGUCUAGAAAAGCUUCAUGAUGUUCCCAGGGCCGCCCGUACUAGAAACCGACUCAGGUGGAUGGGUAGAAUAUACCAAGGCGCAAGAGUGAAACCUCGUUAAGGAACUCUGCAAUCUAGUCCCGUAACUUCGGAAGAAGGGAUGCCCACCUCGGUGGGUCGCAGUGAAAGGGGUCAACCGACUGUUUAUCAAAAACACAGCAUUGUGCGAAGACGAAAGUCUAUGUAUACGAUGUGACACGUGACCAAUGCGGAAAGAUUAAGGCAAGAUGUUAGCCGCAAGGCGAAGCUUUGAACCCAAGUCCCCGUGAAUGUCGGCCGUAACUAUAACGGUCCUAAGGUAGCGAAAUUCCUUGUCGGGUAAGUUCCGACCUGCACGAAUCGUGUAACGAGUUGACCGCUGUCUCAACGAGGGGCUCAGUGAAUUUGUAGUGGCGGUGAAGAUGCCGCCUACCCGCGGAAGGACGGAAAGACCCUAUGCACCUUAACUGUAAGCUGUCACUGAUUCGCUGAUUUCAAUGCUCAGAGUAAGUGGGAGGCUGUGAAGCGGAACUUUCGGGUUCCGCAGAGCCAAAAGUGAGACACCACCCUUUGGUAUUGGCGAGUCUAAUUGUAACCCCUUAAAGGGCAUGAGACCAUGGCAGCCGGUCAGUUUUACUGGGGCGGUAUCCUCCCAAAGAGUAACGGAGGAGCGCGAAGGUGUGCUCAGCGCGGUUUGCAAUCGCGUGUUGAGUGUAUUGGCAUAAGCACGCCUAACUGUGAGACCUACAAGUCGAGCAGAUACGAAAGUAGGCCAAAGUGAUCCGGCGGUUUAAUGUGGAAUUGCCGUCGCUUAACGGACAAAAGGUACGCUAGGGAUAACAGGCUGAUUUCAUCCAAGAGUUCAUAUCGACGAUGAAGUUUGGCACCUCGAUGUCGGCUCGUCGCAUCCUGGGGCUGGAGAAGGUCCCAAGGGUCCGGCUGUUCGCCGGUUAAAGCGGCACGCGAGCUGGGUUCAGAACGUCGCGAGACAGUUCGGUCCUCUAUCCUCCGUGGGCGUUGGAGAAUUGAGGGGUUUACUUCCUAGUACGAGAGGACCGGAAGUAACGUACCUCUGGUGUUCCAGUUGUCACGUCAGUGGCACAGCUGGGCAGCUAUGUACGGAAAGGAUAAGCGCUGAAAGCAUCUAAGCGCCAAGCCUCUCCCAAGAUGAGUUCUCCCUGAAGGAUCGUGGAAGACUACCACGUUGAUAGGGUGUGGGUGCAAGUCGAGUAAUCGAUUCAGCUCAACACUACUAAUCAUCCGAUCGUCUUGAUGCU